UAGCUAGAGAAGGUCAAAAAGAAUAAUGAACUUCAUUCCAUUUCCCCUCAGCAACACAUCCCAACCUGGACUGUCUCAGGUCUCUUUUCACUCACCUAGUUUUUAUUACUUUUCAUCUUUACUCUAAGUGAUGGGAUGAACCAAUGAUAUACAGGUCACAUGUCCCUGUUCCUAGCAAUAACAUUGUCAACUAAGUGAAGAUUGAGGAUUUCUUUUUCCUUGCUGUGCUUGAAGCUCUGAGUUUAAACUACAGGGAGAAAGUAUUUGACAAAAACAAAUGUGAGUGGAAAAAGUCAUAACCUGUUCACUGAGCUUAUUUCUCUUUGAAGAUUUUUUUUUCCAGUUUUGUUUCUUAAGCAACACAUUUCAUCAGACAAUUUACCAUGCAAAAUGUACAAUUAGUGAAACUGGGAAAUGCCUUCUUAGGUAAAUAUCAUUGACAUUUUACUGUUGAACAUCUUUUGGUUCUGGCUGAUACUGGGUAUAUUCAGUGGAAAGGGGAGAAGGAAGACUCAUCUGCAAGACUGCUGGUGGAGAAAAAAUUCAAGGUUAUGUACAAUUAAAACAUCUGGAAUUUCAGGCCAGGCCACCUGGAUGCUUGAGCCCAUAAAAACUGAGGUUGCACACGUGCCCCUGAGAACUGGCGGAGUGUAUGUAUUGUAUUCUCUGUGAAACAGGAAGCUAGCUGAUCCAGACCUGAGAGGCCACUCCCUGUCUGCGGAAAAGACAAUCUCUGACUUCCAGUCAUACUUGAAAUGGCCACUCAAGAAAGGUAGGUGGACACAGAAUACCCCACUCCUUUCCUCUUCCUACUUCCAAUCUCUUAUGCCUGGGGUAAUCCUCAGCUCCUACCUUGUUCCUGUUUCUCAUGUGGUCCAGGGGAACUUGAGUCUAAGAUAACAGAGCUGGUAGUGAUAAGGAAUGGGAGGAUGAGUGAUGCUAAAUCCUUCUUGGCCUGAACUGUUGCCUCCCUCUCUAGCCCUAGAAGAGUAUC